ACCUUCAUCCGUUACAUUUUGUUCUCUCCAAUUUAUCAGUACAUAUUUAUUUAUUUAUUUUUGCAUAAAUUGUGUCUUAUUUCCCCCAAAAAUGACAUUUUGGUUUAGCAAGAAUUAGUGUAAAUUUAUUUAAUGAAAAAAAUCGAUACAUGUUUACUUUUUGCUGGGUAACAUGUGAUGGUAAAUGUUAAGCUGUAAAAAAUGGCAUGAUCAUGUUGUCAUGGUCUUGUUUUUUGCAACCCCGGUAAGACUUCUGCAGCUAUUUCACAUAUGAUUGAAGAAAGUCCUGAAGAUGUUGUAUUGAAAAGGAUAGACUCAGCAUUGUGUAUGGAGAUGAAUCUUUGCCUCGACAUUAUGAAAAUUCUCCAACAACUUCUUCUAAACAGCUUACUUCGCAACACUUGGUAAAUAUUGUUUUUGGUUGUAUGCUGUUCAUUAUCAUCUAAUAAAUCCUGUAACUUAUCAAAUUUUUGUUUCUCUUGGUCCAUUUCUACUGAACCCAUUGGCAAUGGUUGCGUCAUUAUGGGGGCCGAGAAAGGAAAUAUUGUCAUCGAAAGUGUGCUCUUUAAAGAGUUUUCUCAACCAGGUUGACACAUUUGGGAUUGUUGAGCAGGUGAUGGUAGAUGUGACCAAUCAGGCUACCUUAGACAUUAACUUAGCAACAAGUCACAAAUGGUUAUAUGCUCCGGUACAAUUUUUUUCGGGGCUUGAUUCACAAAGGGCUGCAUCCUUACGGAGAUGGUCAACUCAAGGUUUUCAGGAUCUUCAUAAGCCACACGAAAAACAAAGUCACCAUAUCUUCUACAUGAUUUCAUGUGAGUGUGAAGAAAAACUCUCAGAAGUUAAAGUAGUCAAGGUUUAAGUGUGCGAAGUUAGGGCUCAACAUGCAAAAUGUGAGCUUGAAUUUGGAAUGAUUGAUUCCUUUCGGAGGUAAGAUUAUGCUUUAAAGAGAUAAUCCAUUUAUCUGAUAGGCUAAAUGAUGAGAUUAAUAAGUACUGCUACCAAAUUUCUUGAUUUGUAAACACAUUGAAAUGAAAAGUGACGAGAACUACUUUUUAUCCUAUUACCAAGAAUAUCGAAAAUACUUAACUAGUGUGAUAUUAAGAAAGCAAGCGAGAAAGAGCUAUUAAACAACCAGAGCACUGUUCAUCCAAGAUUUAAAAACAUGAAAGUCGAUGAAGCAAGAAGGUUUGUCCGUGUUAUUUCUUAUCAUCUAUUUAGUAACUUAAUGUUAUUCAUUGUGUUGUAAAGACGCUGACCAACCAUUAGACAAAGGUAAUGAUUAGUCGGUGUAUUUACACAGGAGUAACAUUAAAUUACUAAUGGUAAAGAAUAACAUGAAUAAACCUUCAUUGCUUCAUUGACAUUAAUGUUUCUGAAUCUUGAAAGAACAAUGCUCUAUGUCUUGAAAUAAUUUGUUAACCGCUCUUUCCCGCCUGCCUUCUUAACCACUCUUUUCCACUUGCCCCGUAUUUCCGAUCUUCUUAGUAAUAAGAUAAAAUAAAAAGUAGCUCUCAUCGUUUCUCAUUUUUUUGUCUUUAUAAACAAGAAAAAAUGUCCCUCCUUCAACUGUACUCCUUCCUUCGUAUGUAGACUCCCUCAUACAUCGUAUCGUAUAUAGACUCCCUCAUACAUUUUAAGUAUAAGUUCAAGGCAUGAGAAAGUCGGGUGAAUUUAAUGAUAUUUUUGUCCCACAAAACCUGCAAACACAAAGUAAUUGUUAACCGAUUUCUUUGCCACUCAAGGAAUAAUAUUAAGAUACCAUAUUGGAUGAGCAGUGUUUCGUGGCUUGAGAUGCUUUUUUAACAUUUCUUUUCCAUUUCACUUUCCUUACAAACCAAGAAAGUUUGAUAGGUACCUGUUCUUAUGGAUUAACUUGCUUUAUACAUGAGUAUGUCACCUUCACUUAGAUUAUUAGAUAAAUGAAAUAUCUUUCUAAAGUUAUCUGCAUAGUCUUGAAAGAAUCAGAUUAUUUCGUAUUCACAUUUUGCACGUGGAGCUUUAACUUCGGAAACUUCAACCUUGACAAUUUUAUCUUUUGUUUCCGUCCCAAGAAAGUAUACCGAAAACAAUGGGAGGGGAGUAAGGAUUUAGGGCUAGGGUUUUUGCGCUAUCUGUAAAUAUUCAACUCAAGUUAUGAGGUUGCAGCUUUUUUCCGCACAUGCCCUUUUGUGGCAGCAUUGGCUUUCACUUCAAGUUCAUUGAGAUGGAUUACCUUAUCAAGGUAGGUUACCAAUCAACUACUUUCUUGUGAACUCAUCAUCAUAUAUGUUUAUUCAAUUUGGUUAUCAUGGUAUGAUUUUGACGUUAAUAAGAGGUCAAUGACAUAACAGAGGCAUCAAAGUCUUUCAAGCCAUUAUAAUCUAUGGUUGAUCAUGAUGUAGAAACUAAUUCUGUAAGAAUACAAGGGAGUCAUUCAAAAAAUCUUUUGAAAAUAAAAUGUGGGAUUUGUUCUAUAGUUGGUGAGCUCCAAGACUCGUCUCAGAGGAAUAAAAUAAAAAUAAAAAAGUGAACAUGGAAAAUUGGAUAAACAUAAAAAAAGACUCACUUACAAUUCUUCAAGUUUGUUGUAUGGAGAGAGUGUUUAUGGACCAACAUUGAUUCUUGGGUCAACCUCAAUAAUAUCGUCUUUUUUGUUUAAUCCUUUUACAAUUUUGUUUAGUUUGGUAAUACUUAACAAUUAUGGUAAAUUAAGUUCCAAUAUGUGUUUUGAUAGGGGAAAUUCUAUGAGAGAUGCAGUUUCUAAGGCUUACACACAAAUAUUUAAUUCAUAUCAUGGUUGGACUAUCAUAAAGGUUGUUUCUGUAAGAUUAAAUUAUAUUCCUACAAAGCAACAACUAGCAUGAGUUUAAACAUGUACUUAAAGCUUAAAACUUUCAGUAUUGUAGUUAUGAUGUUAACAAUAUUUUUGUUAUUGUAUAGAGUUUGCAGCAAAGGUCCUGAUGGAAAUCGGCAUCCCUGCAUCGGCAUCCCCACCUCUGCUCUGAUAUAGUGAGAAGAUCUUUCUUGAAAGAGAAUCGGGUAUAGAUUGGUGAACCUUCUGAAUGAUUGUGUUUUGAUUGAUUUGAAUACAUGUAAUAGAGAACUUUUGUUGUUUGGAUUCCUUUAUACACAAAUUUUUUUUUGGUUUGUGACAAUCAUUUUCGAUGUUUUGAAACAAACUGAUGCUCAUUGUAUACGAAUAGUCCCUUCCAUGUUCUGAGGGUGCUGUUGGACAAGGAUAAUUUGGUAUAGUUUUCGAUGUUAGUCCCUUCCUUGUUCUUUCAUUUGCACCUUGCAAUUGGAUACAGUUUGAAGUAAACUGAUGCUUAUUGUAUUCUUUUUCAUUUACCGUGCAGGCAAAGCAAAAAGCUGGGAGACAGGUGAAACUUUGGCUAUAAAAAAGAAUCACUGAUGGGGGCUGGAGGCGUAAUUCUUCCACCUUCAACUUAUUUUGAAAAGGAUGCCGACAUUGGAGAUGAAAUGGAUGAAGCCGUUAUCGGAGAUGAAAUGGACGACUUUAUUGUGGAUGAAGAAGAAAUCUAAUAGUCUCUGAGAGGAAAUAUGUUAAUCGAAGAGGAUGAACAUGUAAUUCAAAUUGAGGAUGGAUUUGGUGAAAGUUCAGUCCCUAGUUCAAAAAGAAUAAAAAUUUCUAUGAUAAAUUUUUUGAAAAGUUUGUUGAUGAUAAAGGACUAUCAAAGACCAAAAAUUGUGGUAAAUCUCCUUGCCUAGAGAUGGUGACACUUCAAAUUUAAUAAGCAUGAGUUGAAGAAAUAUGUUGGAGGAGGGAAUAUAUCCUCUUAUUUGCCGCUAGAUCAGGAAAAGUAUAGAGAAAAGAUUUGAGGUAAUUGUCAAACCCAAUUAUUCUUUUACUUUUGUUGAACAUGAAGAUAUGAUGGACUUACAUUGUUUUUUGCAUUGUGAUGUUAAGUUAAUUUCUGCGAAGUUUGAUGUUCUUAAGUUGUAUAGAAAAGAAAAAGAAAAUUUAAAAUUCUAUUUACAAUCCAUUUAAAAAAAAAAUUGUUUAACAUUCGAUCUAUGGUCUGCAAUAAAUAAAAUUAGUAUGUGGUGUUGACUACACUUUUUGUUAAUAGGAAUUGGCCGUUAGAGAAAAGUAUUAUCCUUCAUUCGUUUUCCACCACCUUAUACCAGUUUUCGUUUGUCUGAAUAGUUAAUAAGUAUGUUAAAGAAGUGACGUAUUGAGAAAAAAAAAAUUUACAUUUACUUUAGACAAUGCAUCUUAUAAUAAUGUUAUGGUAAAUAUUUUGAAAAAACAUCUAUUACAUGAGUUAUGAUUGAUAGCUGAAAGAACAUGUUUUCAUGUAAGAUGUAGAGUACACAUCUUAAACUUAAUUGUUUAUGAUGGUUUAAAUAUGAUAGAUGAAUCUUUGUAUAAAAUUCGAUUGUGUGUGGAUCCCAGAUAUAGAAGAGGUUCAGAGGGUCGAAAGUUAAAGUUUGCAUCUUGAUUUUUAAACAAGUUCGUCGAGACAUGUCUAUUAGAUGAAAUUUCACAUAUCUGAUGCGAUGAUUGAGGUUGCUAUAGGUCAACGAGAAGUCUUUACCGUCAUAAGCAAUAUUUAUCCCUACUUUGAUCUUUGUUUAUCAAAGAUGGAAUGGAUCAAGGUAAAAAUCAUAGCCACAAUGAGGAAAACCUACAAAGUGCUAUGAUUUUUGUCUCAAUCCGCUCCUCAUUUUAUAAACAAUGAAAGUAGUAAUUAAUAUCGCUUAUAAGUGUAAAGGUUUCCCGUUGACCUAUAAAAGUUUUAUAAGUGGAAUUCAACCUAUUAGGCAUGUCUUGACAAACAUAAAUCACAUUUGAGAGUUCUUUAAACAAGAUGCAAACUUUAACUUUCAGGCCUCUUAUAUAUUUCACGCACAAUCAAAUUUUAUUUAAGAUACAUCUAUCACCUUUAAACCUUUAAGAACAAUUAAAUUUAAGAUAUAUGUUCCACAUCUAACCUUCAACUAUCAAUCCUAAUCCAAUCCUAAUCAUGUAAUAGAUAUUUCUUCAAAAUAUUCACCAUAACAUAAGACGAGUUGUCUAAGUAAUUGGGAAUAUUUUUUCUCAAUACCCUACUCUUUUGAUAGACUUAUUAACUACUUAGACAAAUAAAAAUUGGUAUGCUGGGGUGGAAAAUGAACGAAGAAUAAUACAUUUUUUUUCAAUAACUCAAUUCUUAUUAACAAAAUGUGCAAUCAAUGUCAUAUAUUGAUUUAUAUUUGUUGCAUAUCAUAGAUCGAAUGUUAAUAGGAUUUUAAGUAUUUUUUUUUCUUUACGACUUAAGAACAUCAACUUCACAAUGUUUAUAAAAGUUGACUUAGUAUCAGAGUGCAAAAACAAUGUAAGUCAACUAUCCAUCCUUUCAUAUUUAAUAAAAGUAAAAGGAUAAUUGAACUUGACAACUAUCUCAUAAAUUGUUUCUCUAUACUUUUGUUGAUCUGGUGGCGGAUAAGAAGAUAUAUUUCCUUCACCAACAUAUUUUACCUCAUGUUUUUAUUAAAUUUGAAGUGCACCAUCAUCUCUAGCCAUAUAAAUUUUAUCAUAAUUUUUGCAUUGGACAAUCUUUGUCAUCAAUUAACUUUUCAAAAACUCCCAAGCCAUAGAGUUUUUAUUUUUUUUUGAACUAGGGAUUGAACUUUCAUCAACUUCAUCCUCAACUUGAAUUAAAGGAUCAUCCUCUUCGGAAGACAGAUUUCCUAAAAUUUGACAAUGAUGAAUGUGAAUUUUGAAUGGAUCUAGAAAAGCACUUAGGAAUGUUAAAAUCAAGUAAAUUCGAAAUGUUAAUAGUUCUAUAUCUAUGUUGUAGAGUAUUGAAGAAUAAACAGGCAAAUAUCACCUGCUGCAAUGUCGAACAUUAUUAGUAACAUUACACAUCACAUUACAUAACACGCAAGAUGCUCCCAUUCACACAAAGGUAACCACAUGCCCAUUAUCAUCAUACAUCAUGACAAAGAACUAUAUAGGUAUAAAUACGAUUUUAUGUCAUAGCAACAAUAUCAAUACAUGUAACAAAAAAAAUACCAAUACAUGUAAUCAAAAAGAAAAAACAAUAUCAAUAUAUCAUCACGAGUAACACACUUGUACAUUCUAGAAAUAUCACACUAGUGUACAAAAACAAUAGAAAAUGUUUAAAUGAUUGAAUUUCACACUGCAAUCAAACAAAAAAACAAAGUAGUCUUUAAUAAAUAACACCGUUGAUUUGAAGCUCAAACCCAUAACAAAUAAGUAGUGACUAAUCAAGUAGUGUGUAACUCAAUUGGUUUCAGCUAGAUAUCUAUAAGGAGUUGGUCUAAUUCAAUCUUUAACAACAUUUUUUUAAAAUAUUUUUUUAUUAUGUGUUAAUGCAAACAAAUUAUUAAUACUUAUUAAUGAUCCUCAAUCAUAAACAAUUCCUUAGAACAUUAAAAAAUAGUUAGGACACUCCUUAUUUUCCUCGAAACAGUCAAUCAAUCAUGUAAAUAAUACUCAAUGUGUCACUUAUCAUAGCUUGUUUGGAUUUUAUUAUGUGUUUCCAUAACGACAAGUUUAUACAUAAUUCAAUACUAAUCUGUCCAUUUUAUAAUUGCUGGCUGAUGACUGCAAUGGACACAAAACAUAGAAAAAAUCACCAUCAACCUUACAAGUUCCUUCCUCGUUAGUAUAUUUCAUCAUAUCAUAUUCAAACAUUUAUAUUCUAUUCACACGUUAUCUAUAAAAUACAACUUUUUCACCUUAAUAAUAAUGCUUGCAC